UACGUAGGUGGCGAACGUUAUCCGGAAUUACUGGGCGUAAAGGGUCCGCAGGCGGUCGGGAGGGUCGGAUGUGACAGCGCACGGCUUAACUGUGCGUGGUCAUUCGAAACCGUCUGACUAGAAUGGGGGCGAGGUCGGUGGAAUUCCCGGUGUAGUGGUGGAAUGCGUAGAGAUCGGGAGGAACCUCGAACGCGAAGGCAGCCGGCUAGCCCCAGAUUGACGCUGAGGGACGAAGGCGUGUGGAGCGAACAGG
rnacentral:rRNA from 1 species